rnacentral:lncRNA from 1 species
CCUCAGCCCGUCUGUACCCAGGCGCUCAUUAGAACAGCGUGUUGCUCCACACCGCCUUGUGGUGUUUGUUACCGCGCUCUUGGGGUUCGAACCGAUACAGCAGGCUUGCAGCUAUUUCAUUGGUUUAAACUUUUAUUUUUUUAUUGCAAAUGAAAAUUACUAUCAACUAUCAUUACAAAGCUGUAGAAUAUGAAGUUCGAAGGAAAACGCUGAAUCAGUAUACAAAAGCGUCUCAAUCAGACUCAUCCAUUUUGAAGCAAUUCCUCUGCCAUUUUGCCACCUCCUCUCAAAUUCAGCGACUUACCAAUGGUGAAGUUUUCCAUAAAAGAGAAAGGGAAACAGACCUGUCUGAAGCAAGAAAGCCUGUGUGGAUGAAUAUUGCUUCCAGGAGUCACAUAAUUACAUCUAAAAUCAUAGAAUGUUAGAGCUGGAGGAAUCUUUAGAGUUUGCCCAAGGUCCUUCACCAGCAUUUUACAGAAGAUUCUUCGAUUUAACUGCUCUUAAUUACAUCCCGUUGCACUGGCCCCAUCAAGUUGCUUUAAACAGCCCUUCUAGUCAACAGAGCUGCAGAGAAAAACCUUGAGCUGUCACACUUCAUUUGUGAGAACACUCCAGAGCUUCCUCCAGCUGCUGAUUCCAAACCAGCUUCA